rnacentral:rRNA from 1 species
UACGGAGGGUGCAAGCGUUAUCCGGAAUCACUGGGCGUAAAGCGCACGUAGGCGGAUUGCUAAGUCAGGGGUGAAAUCCUGGAGCUCAACUCCAGAACUGCCUUUGAUACUGGCGAUCUUGAGUCCGGGAGAGGUGAGUGGAACUGCGAGUGUAGAGGUGAAAUUCGUAGAUAUUCGCAAGAACACCAGCGGCGAAGGCGGGUAGCUGGGCCAACACUGACGCUGAUGCGCGAAAGCUAGGGGAGCAAACGGG